GGGCAGGAUGGAGUCUAUCGUGCAAGUGAGGGGCAGCAUAGCACUUCGGUGCUGAUGGCGACCGGCGAACGGGUGCGUAACGCGUAUGUAAUCUGCCUUGUACAGGAGGAUAGCUUCUGGAAACGGGAAUUAAUACUCCAUAUGGUCUUUUUAUCACAAGAUGAAUAGAUGAAAGCUCCGGCGGUACAAGAUGAACAUGCGUCCUAUUAGCUAGUUGGUAAGGUAAUGGCUUACCAAGGCGACGAUAGGUAGGGGGUCUGAGAGGAUGAUCCCCCACACUGGCACUGAGACACGGGCCAGACUCCUACGGGAGGCAGCAGUAGGGAAUAUUGGACAAUGGGCGCAAGCCUGAUCCAGCCAUGCCGCGUGCAGGAUGACAGUCCCAUGGAUUGUAAACUGCUUUUAUACAGGAGAAAUAAGCCCUUGCGAGGGCCUAUGAUCGUACUGUAAGAAUAAGCACCGGCUAACUCCGUGCCAGCAGCCGCGGUAAGACGGAGGGUGCAAGCGUUAUCCGGAUUUACUGGGUUUAAAGGGUACGUAGGCGGUCUUGUAAGUCAAUGGUGAAAUCUAGCAGCUCAACUGCUAACGUGCCAUUGAUACUGCUUGACUUGAGUAUAGUCGAGGUGGGCGGAAUUCUACAUGUAGCGGUGAAAUGCAUAGAUAUGUAGAGGAACACCGAUAGCGAAGGCAGCUCACUAGGCUAUUACUGACGCUGAGGUACGAAAGCGUGGGGAGCAAACAGGAUUAGAUACCCCGGUAGUCCACGCUGUAAAAGAUGGUCACUCCAUAUAUGCCACUUUAUGUGCAUGUGUCCCAAGCCAAA
rnacentral:rRNA from 1 species